rnacentral:misc_RNA from 1 species
CUUUCAGUUCCAAAGUCUCAAUCUUCAGAGUCAGUGCAGCCAAAACCUAGUGAUCCAGAGCCGACACAAAAUGAAAAUUCUACUGCUUCAGAGGAUGUUCCAAUGACAGAAGGAUCUUCAGUUUCAACUGCUAUUGUGCAGGAAACUGAUCCAAAUGAAGCAAUAUAUGCUGAGAGGCUGACAAAAAUCAGGGGAAUUUUGUCUGGGGAGACAUCAAUUCAGUUGACUCUACAAUUUCUAUACAGUCAUAACAAAUCGGAUCUUCUUAUUCUGAAGACAAUCAAGCAGUCUGUUGAGAUGAGGAAUAGUGUUUGUCACAGUGCAACUAUCUAUGCUAAUGCAAUUAUGCAUGCUGGAACGACUGUGGAUACAUUCCUCAGGGAGAAUUUGGAUUGGUUGAGCAGGGCCACGAAUUGGGCCAAAUUUAGUGCCACGGCAGGGCUUGGCGUUAUCCAUAGAGGUCACUUGCAGCAGGG